AUAGAAAGACUAUAGUACACAUUUUACAAAAACAAAAAGGGUCGGGAUCGCGAAGAAGUAACUUCUGUUAGGAACUGUUUAUUUUUCGGUGGCAGUGCCGCUAGCUCAGUCUUAAUCUCAGGGCAGAGUACCCCUAUGCCACAGCUCGCAACAUGAGUAUCGACAACUCCGCUGUCUCACAUCACUAAUCUAUCGGUCAUCACUAAGAACCAAAACGUAAACAAAGCCAAGCGCCCCCACCCAACCAUGGAUGCCCUCAAGAUGCUGCAGGGCACCAUUCUCCGUUGGCAGGAGCCCCCUCCUCGCGACUACGACGGUUCCAUCUCCCCCACUGGGAAAGCUUACUCACAUUGUGUGUAUUACAAAUGAUUAAUAAAUAUGCCUUUAAGACCGAAAACAUGGCCACCGUCUUCAAUAUUUACGCGGUCAAAGUUAUAAGAAAAAGGCUACAGGCGCCGCGGAAAGUUAUGCUCUAACAGUCACUUAUUGGUAGAGCUCGCAUGGAAACGCGGCCCUCAAAAGGAACAUACGCGAUGCGCGCGUGUCGGGUCACCUAAUCCUGAGGAGCUCCAGGGGAAAAGAAGGGACAGGCUAAAACUGCACUGUAAACUAUACCAUCUAACUGAUGCUCGCGACCUUUUUGAUUCUAGGCAAACGACGAGGACAAAUAAGGCUCUCGGGUCUAAAUCAGGAUAAAUUCACAAACAGGGAAUUUAAUAAUCAAGGUACCCAUGUAUUAUAAUAUUUCCUGAAUUUCAGCCACUUUUGGGCCGGGCCUGGAGGGCGAUUAUAGCCCGGCUGAAAACUUCUCGCCGGAGGUCAGCGACAACACUUGUCUCCAAGAAGGAAAACUGGCGCACUACGGUGAGUUGUGCAAGGGCAGUCGGAGGUUCGGCCGCCCGACAAAAUGGCGGUACUUCUCAACGCCGCGAUGCGACGGCUGGAAGUUCCCGAGAUGAGGUGGACGUGGUAGACCGGAACGGACUAACCGGGAAAUGCUUGAUGUCGUCGGCGUCGACGGCGAAAGGCGUUUAUGGCUGGUCGUCUGUGCGGGUCGAACGGACACCGGUUGCUGGCAGCUAAGUCGGGGCUGUACUUCCAGCUACAUCUGCCUAGUUGGACAAUAUGGCUGCGACUAUACUGAUAUCUGCUGAUCAUCAUUCCUCCCCCGCCAUAUUACAUCGCCUCUCCCAAAAUUGGGUCAUUGGACACAUGAGUGCCAUUUAAGGUAAUCUCAGAGCGAACCGGGAUUAAUCCUCAAAUGGCCUGAUCGCCCGCCAGAUUCACCUCGCUGCUGCAACUAUCGCCCUAUCGACUUAACCUAUCGAUAGAGUCCCUCCCAUUAUCGACUCCAAUUGCAACACUUCUGAGACACUUCUGAGCAAUAGAAAGACGAUAGUACACA